CCCUCUUCGGCAUAUGUAUAUAAAUCAAGCAGGCUUGGUUCCUUUCUACCACAAACAAAGGCUCACUCCAGACUGGUGUCCGUGGUAACCAAAAUCAUCACAAAAAGAGAUAUCUGAGAAGACAAUUAACAACCAAUCAGUCACAUCGAAGGCCACUGAAAUCAGUUCACAGAGUCGUGUGUCUGAUCUGAAGAGAAGCUGAACAGAAUGAUGUCAUCGUGUGUUCUGAUGAUGCUCCUGUUCUUUAAGCAUGUUACUGCAGACAACUCAGGUGUGACUGUUGCCAAAUCUAUCCAGUUUAGCUGUGGGGGCACACAGUGUCCAGUGGGACAGGACUGUAUCAGU